rnacentral:lncRNA from 1 species
AUGCAUUUUUCUUUCCUUCCUUUCCUCCCUUCCUCAUCCUUCUUUCCUUCCUUCUCUCUCUUCCUCUUUUCUUCCUUCCCUUUCUCUCUUUCUUUCCUUCCCUUCCUCUCUCUUUCCUUCCCUUCCUUCCUUCUUUCCUUUUUCCUUCCUUUUCUUCCCUCUCUUUCCUUCCCCUCCUUCUUUCCUUCUUCCUUUUUUCCUUCCUUUUCUUCCUCUUUUCUUCCCUCUCUUCCUCUUUCUUUCCUUUCCUUCCUUCCUUUCUUCCUUCCUUCUUUCCAUCCUUCUUUUUUUCCUUCCCUCUCUCUCUCUUUCCUUCCUUCCUUCCUUUCUUUUUUUUUCUUUCUCUACUAUGAUAUCUCCUUGGACAUCUGUUGUUUUUAUAUCAGACACUUCUGACUGGGCUGACUGGGAUCCCUGACCCUGCCUUCCUUGUGACAAAGGAAAAGGUGUAAGAAAAACCAGCUGCCUCAGAGACCUUCUUAGGGCCUAAGGCAUGUACUCGCCAUGUCACAGGGGCAUUGCGGCCAUUUUCUGGGGAGUGAGUAGGUCUGAGGGCGCAGGCCUUUCAAAUGAUCUUGUGGUAUGAGGACUAUGUGGCAUGGGCUGUAUGAAUCAAUAGAAAGAAAUCCUCUCAUUCCAGCCUCCAUACCUUUGCCUACCUGAAAGUCUUUCCUACCUUCUUUCCUUCAAACAUUUCUUUACAUUUUGUUUUCGAUUCUGAAUUGAAUAAAUACAAACAUUUGCAUGUAGAAAGAAGAACC